rnacentral:rRNA from 1 species
AGGAUGAACGCUGGCGGCGUGCCUAAUACAUGCAAGUCGAGCGGUAAGGCCACUUCGGUGGUACACGAGCGGCGGACGGCAGAGUAACGCGCGGGAAUCUACCCCAAACUGAGGGAUAAGCACCAGAAAUGGUGUCUAAUACCGCAUAUGCUCUUCGGAGUAAAGCUACGGCGGUUUGGGAAGAGCCUGCGUAUGAUUAGCUUGUUGGUAAGGUAAAAGCUUACCAAGGCGACGAUCAUUAGCUGGUCUGAGAGGAUGAUCAGCCUGACUGGGACUGAGAACGGCCCAGACUCCUACGGGAGGCAGCAGUAGGGAAUUUUCCACAAUGGGCGAAA